CAGUCGCCGCGGGAAUACGAAGGGGGCUAGCGUUGCUCGGAAUUACUGGGCGUAAAGGGAGCGUAGGCGGAUCGUUAAGUUGGGGGUGAAAGCCCGGGGCUCAACCCCGGAACUGCCUUCAAUACUGGCGAUCUUGAGUAUGAGAGAGGUGUGUGGAACUCCGAGUGUAGAGGUGAAAUUCGUAGAUAUUCGGAAGAACACCAGUGGCGAAGGCGACACACUGGCUCAUUACUGACGCUGAGGCUCGAAAGCGUGGGGAGCUAACAGGAUUAGAUACCCCCGUAGUCCCUGUCUCUUAUAC
rnacentral:rRNA from 1 species